UACGUAGGGUGCAAGCGUUGUCCGGAAUUAUUGGGCGUAAAGAGCUCGUAGGCGGUCUGUCGCGUCGGCUGUGAAAUCCCGAGGCUCAACCUCGGGUCUGCAGUCGAUACGGGCAAACUAGAGUAUUGCAGGGGAGACUGGAAUUCCUGGUGUAGCGGUGAAAUGCGCAGAUAUCAGGAGGAACACCCGUGGCGAAAGCGGCUCUCUGGGACGGUACUGACGCUGAGACGCGAAAGCGUGGGGAGCAAACAGG
rnacentral:rRNA from 1 species